rnacentral:rRNA from 1 species
UGAGGAAUUUUGCGCAAUGGGAGCAAUCCUGACGCAGCAACGCCGCGUGGGUGAUGAAGGCCUUCGGGUCGUAAAGCCCUGUCAGGUGGGAAGAAUGUCCCGGGACUGAACAGGUUAUGGGAGUGCCGGUACCACACGAGGAAGCACCGGCUAACUCCGUGCCAGCAGCCGCGGCAAAACGGCGGGUGCAAGCGUUAUUCGGAAUUACUGGGCGUAAAGGGCGUGUAGGCGGAUCAUCAAGUCUGUUGUGAAAGCCCAGGGCUUAACCCGUGAAGUGCAUUGGAAACUGUGAGACUUGAGUACUGGAGAGGAUGGGGGAAUUGGCGGUGUAGAGGUAAAAUUCGUAGAGAUCGGCAAGAGUAUCAGUGGCGAAGGCGCUCAUCUGGACGGUAACUGACGCUGAGGCGCGAAAGCGUGGGGAGCAAACA